rnacentral:rRNA from 1 species
AUUGAACGCUGGCGGCAUGCCUUACACAUGCAAGUCGAACGGUAACAGGUUAAGCUGACGAGUGGCGAACGGGUGAGUAAUAUAUCGGAACGUGCCCAGUCGUGGGGGAUAACGUAGCGAAAGCUACGCUAAUACCGCAUACGAUCUACGGAUGAAAGCGGGGGAUCGCAAGACCUCGCGCGAUUGGAGCGGCCGAUAUCAGAUUAGGUUGUAGGUGAGGUAAAAGCUCACCAAGCCUGCGAUCUGUAGCUGGUCUGAGAGGACGACCAGCCACACUGGAACUGAGACACGGUCCAGACUCCUAUGGGAGGCAGCAGUGGGGAAUUUUGGACAAUGGACGCAAGUCUGAUCCAGCAAUGCCGCGUGCAGGACGAAGGCCUUCGGGUUGUAAACUGCUUUUGUACGGAACGAAACGGUGAGCUCUAAUACAGUUUGCUAAUGACGGUACCGUAAGAAUAAGCACCGGCUAACUACGUGCCAGCCGCCGCAGUAA